rnacentral:rRNA from 1 species
UACGUAGGGGGGCAAGCGUUGUCCGGAUUUAUUGGGCGUAAAGAGCGUGUAGGCGGCCUGACAGGUCUGCUGUGAAAACUCGAGGCUCAACCUCGAGAUGUCGGCGGAAACCGUCUGGCUAGAGUCCGGAAGAGGAGAGUGGAAUUCCUGGUGUAGCGGUGAAAAUGCGCAGAUAUCAGGAAGAACACCUAUGGCGAAGGCAGCUCUCUGGGACGGUACUGACGCUGAGACGCGAAAGCGUGGGGGAGCGAACAGG